CCUGACUGCUAUCGGAUUGAUACUAAGCCAUGCGAGUCUUUGCAGUAAUGCAAGGCAUACGGCUCAGUAACACGUAGUCAACUUACCCUAUGGACGAGGAUAAUCUUGGGAAACUGAGCAUAAUACUCGAUAGAUCAUAAUGCCUGGAAUGGUUUAUGGUUGAAAUGAUUCGUCGCCAUAGGAUAGGACCGCGGCCUAUCAGCUUGUUGGUGAGGUAAUGGCCCACCAAGGCGAUUACAGGUACGGGCUCUGAGAGGAGAAGCCCGGAGAUGGGUACUGAGACAAGGACCCAGGCCCUAUGGGGCGCAGCAGGCGAGAAAACUUUGCAAUGUGCGAAAGCACGACAAGGUUAAUCCGAGUGAUUUCUGCUAAAGAAAUCUUUUGCAAGUCAUAAAACCACUAGUGAAUAAGGGGUGGGCAAGUUCUGGUGUCAGCCGCCGCGGUAAAACCAGCACCUCAAGUGGUCAGGAGGAUUAUUGGGCCUAAAGCAUCCGUAGCCGGCUCUGUAAGUUUUCGGUUAAAUCCAUGUGCUCAACGCAUGGGCUGUCGAAAAUACUGCAUAGCUAGGGAGUGGGAGAGGUAGACGGUACUCGGUAGGAAGGGGUAAAAUCCUUUGAUCUAUCGAUGACCACCUGUGGCGAAGGCGGUCUACCAGAACACGUUCGACGGUGAGGGAUGAAAGCUGGGGGAGCAAACCGGAUUAGAUACCCGGGUAGUCCCAGCUGUAAACGAUGCAGACUCGAUGAUGCAUUGGCAUAUAGCCAGUGCAGUGUCGCAGGGAAGCCGUUAAGUCUGCCGCCUGGGAAGUACGUACGCAAGUAUGAAACUUAAAGGAAUUGGCGGGGGAGCACCACAAGGGGUGAAGCCUGCGGUUC
rnacentral:rRNA from 1 species